GCCGGGCCUAGGCCAUUCUUGCUAGGGCGAUGAUGAUUGACCAUGGCUGAAAUAGUGUGCCUUUGAGCAAUCGAGGCACCUGUGGGUAUCAAGUUGGAUCCUCCCUCUUGUCUCUAGAAUCCUUUGAUCCUGUGAUACUGAUUGCUCUGUCCUUGGACGGUCAUUCUUCUUGAGUGAUAACCAGGGCAGCUCCACAGUAUAAACUGGUUGAUCUGGUGAUAGCAGAUGAUGUGGGUAGGUUAUAUGAUCGAGCAAAGGCGAAUCUGAGCCCACUAUGCAAUAUAAGCUCCAAUGUUUAUAUUUGUCUUGUGUAAAGAUUUCUUCUCUUAUACCUUCAUUGCAUAAGUUAUGCUUGAUCUUUUAUCGUUCGCUGUUGCUCCUUAAUUUAAUCUGGUUAAGAGUAAGUUUCACUUUGUUAUAUUAGGGAGACUUCUAUUUUUCCGCAAGUUACCAGUUGCAGCUAUUUGUUCUUACAAUGCUUCAAAUAAUAAUGCAACUGGAUUUUUUUGGAGAGAAUGCUGGACUGUUCAUGUAAAGAGUGACCGAGGCGGCACGUCACAUGUUACUGUCUGUAUCCAUAAGCAAUUUUUCAACUGCUGUGAUUUAGUUGCUGGGCUAAUCUGGGCCAUUGAGCGGACAUUCCCUUUUGUUUUCUUUACUUUGUUCAGAAGCUUUCCCCAAUUCUGUCUAUCACCACUGCAUUUUUUGGAUCAUGCACCAGACUAAAUGUCGGUGAACUUCGAAGGAUGUGUGUUUUGUUAGCUUCUUAACUUGUUUCCUUGCUAAGUAAACCUUCGGGGUUAUUCAGUUUUGUUGCCCUCUUUGUAGAUAUAGUUUUGGUCUUUUACAUUGCUUUGUCAUGCACUCUUCCUGGCAAGCUUAUAACAGUGAUGACUUUGUCCAUUUAGUCAUAGCAACUAUUUGAAUUAUCAAAAUUCGCUACCAUUUGGUUACCACCAGAUGUUUGUCUUGACAAAACAUGGUCCAGGAAGGCAUUUUGUCUGCUAUGUUUUUUGAAAUAGAAUUCUGAUUCGGGGCAGUGAUGAUUGACCAUUGCUGAUAUAAGCAUGCUCGAGCAAUCGAGUAAGCUGUGGUAUAAGUUGAAUCCUCCCUUGUCUCUUGGAGCCGUUUCAACCACGACAAGAAUUAUGGGACGGAGGGAGUAUAUAUUUUUUUGUGGCUGUCCUUGGAAGGUCAUUUUGAUGAGUGAUAACCAGGGCAGCUCCACAGUAUAAACGGGCUGAUCUGGUUAUAAGAGAUGNNNNNNNNNNNNNNNNNNNNNNNNNNNNNNNNNNNNNNNNNNNNNNNNNNNNNNNNNNNNNNNNNNNNNNNNNNNNNNNNNNNNNNNNNNNNNNNNNNNNNNNNNNNNNNNNNNNNNNNNNNNNNNNNNNNNNNNNNNNNNNNNNNNNNNNNNNNNNNNNNNNNNNNNNNNNNNNNNNNNNNNNNNNNNNNNNNNNNNNNNNNNNNNNNNNNNNNNNNNNNNNNNNNNNNNNNNNNNNNNNNNNNNNNNNNNNNNNNNNNNNNNNNNNNNNNNNNNNNNNNNNNNNNNNNNNNNNNNNNNNNNNNNNNNNNNNNNNNNNNNNNNNNNNNNNAGCCCCCUCAAAUGCAAUUCUAGUGCUCCUUCAGCAUAAUAUGCUACGUUCUUUCUCUUUUUUUAUCUGUAUUUGAAGGUGUCGCUUAUUUUUAUAGCUGUCCUGUGUAUAUAUUUCUUCCCUCGUACCUUUAUUGUGAAGAUGUUCUUGCUCUUUUUUGUUUCGUUCUUACAUCUAUUCUGCACUAUACGUCAAGUAUCAGCCAAAAUAAAAUUUGGUCUUUGAUGCUACAUAUUCAGUUAAUUUUGUUCCCACUGUACAGCUUAAAUGGAUUGUCAUGGCCCCCCAGCACACUAUACUUUGUGGUUGCACACAUGCAUGGCAAAAUACUCCAAAUCUGAUGUGGUCUAAUGAUGCUCUAUCAUGUAUUUUAAAAGCAUGCCUUGGGGCAAGCUUCUAUAUCACCACCCUUCUCCACAGAAGCAUGUUCAAGUCAUAAGCUUGGUGAUGCUGUAAUUCAUAUGGUCAAUCAGAUAAUCAGUGCAACAUGCUCAUCAUAUGUUUGGAUGCAACUGAGAGUGCAGAUGCACAUUAGAUGCUGUGAAUAAAAGGUUGUGUGCUUGGCCAGUAAUUUUAAUAUGUGAGGCCUCCAUUGGCUAUGUAUAAUAUAAUGUUCUUUUGCCAUGUAUGUGUUCAGUGUUGGUUAACAAAAUGCUAAUGUUAAGUGAAAUUCUUUAAUAUCAAACGAAUUCUUUGUACAGAUUUUUUUUAGUUCUAUUGGAUUUCCCAUAAUAGUUUGUAUACCGGUCUACCAUUGUGUCUCUUCAUGAAUGUGGUACUGCUGAGCAAGCCUGAGAAGCCUUUGUAAUAGUUUGUGUAUUUCCUUUCAACUGCGAUAAUGUGUGCAUUUUCAUCUUGAUUCUAAAGUACAUCUUUCCUUUCUACUUGAAGUUAGAUGGAGGUCACUAGGCAUCAGGAGGAUUGCAUAGCCCAAUAUCCUCCCUUGUUACAUAAUUUUGCAAGCUAUUGGUGACCACGAAUAAUUAUGGGUGCUGUAUGCUAAACAAUGCUCUCUGUUUAAUGCAAAGUAUAUUGUUUGUAGGCACUAUUUGGUUUUGCUUGACAUUCGUUUUGGUGGUUUGCAUUUAAGUUAAAAUGCAGGCAGUGGUUGUUCUUUAUUGUUUGGUCAUUUGAUUUUGCUCUUCUUUUAGUUGUACUUGUUCUUUAUUGUUUUGGAUUUUGUUGCUUUCAGGAGAUAGCUUCUUCUCGGUUGCUUCUUCAGUCUUGUAAUCCAUGAUCAUUUUGCUGCUCUCAGUAGAUAGCAUAUUCUUUAUUCUUUGGUCAUUCGAAGGAUGUUUGUUUUGUUAGCUUCUUAACUUCCUUUUCCUUGCUAAGCAAGCCUUUCGGGUAAUUCUGUGUUGUUGCUGCCUUCUUUUUACAUAUAGUUUUGCAUCGCUUUGCUUUGCACUCUUCCUGGCAUGCUUAUAACAGAGACCUUUGUCCAUUAGACAUAGUAACUAUUUGAAUAAUCAAAAUUUGCUACCAUUUGGUCACCACCAGAAGUUUUUUAGUUGACAAAACAUGGUCCAGGAAGGUAUUUUGUCUGCUAUGUUUUUUGAAAUAGGAUUCUGAUUUGGGGCAAUGAUGAUUGACCAAUGCUGAUAUAAGCAUGCUCUCGAGCAAUCGAGUAAGCUGUGCAUAUUCAGCUGGAUCCUCCUUCGUCUCUUGGAGCCGUUUCAACCAUGACAAGAAUUAUGGAACGGAGGGAGUACUAAGAGCAACUCUAGCAGAUUUGCUAUAUUUUUGGUGGCUCUGUCCUUGGAAGGUCAUCUUGACGAGUGAUAACCAGGGCAGCUCCACACUAUAAACGGGUUGAUCUGGUGAUAAGAGAUGAUGGGGGUAGGUUACAUGAUCGAGCAAAGGCGAAUCUGAGCCCCCCUCAAAUGCAAUUCUAGUGCUCUUUCGGCAUAAUGUGCUACACUGUUUCUCUUUUUUUAUCUGUGUUUGGAAGGUGUCGCUUAUUUAUGCAACUGUGUUUAUAGCUGUCCUGUGUACAUAUUUCUUCCCUCUCAUACCUUUAUUGCGUAAGUUGUUCUUGCCCUUUUUUUUUCCGUUCUUGCAUCUGUCUGCACUAUAGUACAUCAAGUAUCAGCCAAGAAAAAUUUGUACUUUGAUGCUACACAUUCAGUUUUCAACUUAAAUGGAUUCCUGUGGCCCCCAGCACACUAUAUUUUGUGGUUGCACACACGCACAGCAAAAUACUCCAAAACUGCUGUGGUCUUAUAAUGCUCUAUCAUGUACUAUUUUAAUAAGCAUGCCUGAGCGCCAGCCCUUCUCCACAGAAGCAAGUUCAAGUCAUAAGCCAGUGUUGGUGGUGCUGUAAUUCGUAUGGUCAAUCAGAUAAUCAGGGCAACAUGCUUGUCGCAUACCUUUUGGAUACAAUUGAGAGUGCAUAUGCACAUUAAAUGCUGUGAAUCAAAGCUUGUGUGCCUGGUCAGUAAUUUUGAUAUGUGAGCCCUUGAUUGGCUUAUGUAUAAUAUGUUGUUCUCUCGCCAUGUAUGUGUUGGGUGUUGGUUAACAAGAUGAUGAUGUUCAGUAAAAAAUUUCUAUAUCAAACAAAUUUGUUUUACAGAGUUUUUUAGUUCUAUUGAAUUUCCCAUGAGAGUUUGUAUACCGGUCUACCAUUUUGACUCUUCAUGAAUGUGGUCUUGCUGAGCAAGCCUGAGAAGCCCUUGUACUAAUAGUUUGUAUUUGAGCAGUUUCUUCCUUUCAACUGCGAUGAUGUGUGCAAUUUCAUCUUGAUUCUAAAGUAGAGUUUCCUUUCUACUAGUAGGCAUCAGGAGGAUUACAUAGCCCAAUAUCCUCGCUUGCCACAUAAUUUUGCAAGCUAUUGGUGACCACAAAUUAUUACGGGUUCUGUAUGCCAAACAAUGUGCUCUGUUUAAUGCAAUUUUUUUUAUUAUAUUGCUAUUGCACAAGAUUUCUGGUUCCUCCUAAUUUUGAGGCACUAUUUGGUUAUGCUUGACAGUAAUUUUGGCGCUUUAGAUUUCAGCUAGAAUGCACGCAGGAUAUGUUGUUUGCUCAUUUGAUCUUUUUCUUCUCUCCUACGUCUACUUGUUCUUUAUUUGUUUCUGAUCAUUUUGCUGCUCUCAAGAGAUGCCUACCAUAUUCUCGCCUGGUUCAUCAGUGACCUCAUCCAUUUGGUUUGGUGCCAAAAGAGGAAGGGUCUCCCAACCAAGUUUCAUGUUGAUCUUAUUGGCUCUAGCUGUGAUCUUGUAGAUAUAGCUGCCUGUGGAACAUAUUUUUGCGUCUCCUAAGUUGGGUUCUAGAGUGGUUGCACUCUGUUAUACCAAGGUAGACUUGCUGGCUUGUUUUUAAAUGGUUGUCAUACCAGCAUUGUUUUCUCCCAGCAAAUUGCCAGCUGCAGCAGUUUGUUCUUACAUGCGACAGAGAACGAGUACGGUGCAUGUUUGCUGUCUGUAGCCAUAAGCAAUUUUUUGACUGCUGUGAAUGAUUGAGUUGCUGGGUUUAGCUGAGCCAGUGUGGUGAUAUUUUGACUGCCGUUACUGUUGCCUCGAGUGCCCGUUUGGGUGUUCGACGCCUACGGUCUGUUCCAAGUGCUGCGGUUUUGUCGUGUUACCCCGUGACAGGUUUCUUCAAUGUUAAUAGGCAUCAUUCAGCAUGUUCUUGUUUUCUCAAACCGUUUUGUCUCAAUCUCUUGGACCUGGUUUGAAAAUUAUACACUUUUGGUUGUACGUGUGCAGGGCUGCAUGUAGGCUGGCUGCGGUGGCUGGGAGUGUGUACGUUCUCGCACACCCGCGCCUUCUUAAAUCCCACACCACAUGGGCAGUGACUCCGGCGAGCUGCAGGGAGUGACGGGCAGAAAUGGCGGCCUCCUCCCUCCUCGCCGCCAUCCUGGCGCUGCAGCUGCUUCUCCUCCUCGUGGCAUUCACGCCCGCACCAGCAGCAGCAGCGAGCCCCUCCAAGCGCCCCAUCCAUCAGCCUCCCUCUUUCCCCGCAGGAAUCUCUACCCUGCGGCGGCGGGCUGCAAGCUCGAGCGGCAGGCUCGCCACGGAGGCGGUGAAGCCGUUCACGGCGCACUACUUCCCCCAGGAGCUGGACCACUUCACCUUCACGCCCAACUCCUCUCGCGUCUUCUCCCAGAAGUACCUCCUCAACGACACCUUCUGGCGGAAACCCACCGGGCCGCUGUUCGUGUACAUGGGCGGCGAGGCUGACAUCGAGUGGUUGGCCACCACCACCGGCUUCAUGUUCGACAUCGCGCCAGAGUUCGGGGCUCUCAUCGUCUUCAUCGAGGUACUCUUCUUUGCCACAUCCUCCGCCAUGGCUGAUACUUUCAGCUAAUCAUCAUAUCAUCGGUUGCCACGCCUUAGUCCAAAUUUUGGUUGUUGUGCUGCACACCAUUUUAUUUGUAAUUAAGCAUAUUAAUAAUAUAAUUAUUAAAAGGUGAAUGCCUAAACGGACUAACGAAUGCAUCUAUAUAGACUGAAUAAUCUGUUACCUUGAUUAUACAUUAGAAUCUAAUUUUAAUGAUCAAAAUAAAAAAUAAUAUAAUAAUAAUAAUAAUAUAUGUGCAUCACAGCCACUCGUGAUGGAGCGGCGCUCCGGGUCGGGUGCAGUUCGAUUGAAACAAAGAGAGCAAUCCUGAUGGCAUCACUGCCGAUGUCAGCACUCAGGCAAUUAACCAAGUUGCUUUAUUUCACGUGUGCUAGCUAGGUUGACUGGAAUUUCAUUGCCACAACACUUGAUGGAUUUCACCGUACAAGAAUAUGACUAGAUCGAUUGAGACACAUACAAUUAUUUUCUGUUAGUUGGAUCAAGAGCAAAAAUUCCUGCAAAAGAAAAAUCAAUAGCAAAUGUAUCAACUAAAUAUUUUCCAUCCGUACUCCACAUAGUUCAUAGAUGUAAAUAAUUCUAUAUAAAGAGUAAAUAUAUAUAAAAACACAUUUCAAAAUGUUAAUAUAUUCUGAACAAUAAUUUCGCGUGUACAUCCGGACAUUCUAUGUUCGCACACAAAAUUUCGCAAAUAUAUAUAAAUUUUUUGUGGCAUGUAUAAAAGGAUAAAAAAAUGUCUCAUGAAUAGUUGUAAUGAAGCACCGAAAAUUGUCUUUUUUACACAAGCCACAAAAAAUGUCCUUUUUCAUCGAAACUUUGUGCGUGAACAUGUAAUGUCCGGAUGUACAUGCGGGAUUUUUUCUCGAAUUUUUUGAACUUUUUUAAAAUGUGUAUUUAGACAAUGGGUGCAAUACACCUAUGAAUCAAAGUGAAUUUCCGCUACAUACGGAUGUAUAUAGACAUAUUUAGAGUGUAGAUUUGCUCAUUUUACUUCUUAUGUAGUUCAUAUUGAAAUCUCUGAAGGGACUUAUAUUUAGGAACGAAGGGAGUAGGACAUUAACUAGCCCAAUUCAGGCUUUGAUAACAUAUAAGAUAAUAACAUGCGGAUUAUGUUAUAGAAAUCAAACUAAUAUGAUUGGAUUUGUAAUAUAUAUCUCUUUUCUUCACUUAUCAUUUGAUUAUUUUUAUCUUAACUACAAAUGAAAUAUUGAUUAUAUAGUUUAAAAUUAAAAAAAAUGUGUGCCUUGCAUUUGUUACGGAGGGACUAUGCAAUAAGUUAUUUUGGUCAUCAUAGAAACAUGAGACAUACUUACACGACAUGGUCGAUGAGAGAGAGAGAGAGAAAGAGAGAGAGAGAGAGAGAGAGAGAGAGAGAGAGAUAGUCGUGUUAAAUAGUAGAAUUUGGUGCAACCAACGUUGGCACAAUCAGCAAAAGCUAAGUUAUGACUCAUAUACCAUGGAUACAAUUAGAUCAACUCUAGCAGAUUUGUGGAAAACGGCCUUUGCGGGCUGGCUUGGACGGCCGCAGAUGCAGACUCCCCAAACAGACCCGUAUAAAAGGAUAUUCGCGGAAUAUACUUUUUUACGGUCUGCUCGGGCACCGCCGCGUCGACCCGCAAACAGAAAACGCCUAAUUCUCAAAUUUGACAUAGAUGCCCACACAUAAGUUCAAAUUCAAACAUAGCACAGUUUACCCGCCCCGACCCGCACUUUAGCGGUUAUUUUGCGGAUCGGGGCGGGAUGCAGGGUCUGCUAGAGUUGCUCUUAGAAAGGCAAGGUAAUGUUCAUGUCUACAAGGUAUGCAAGAGUUGGUAGCUAGAAAGAUAAAUACAGAUAAUGUUUUCACGAUUAUAGUUAAAUAUGAACACAUUACAUUAGUAGGCAUGCAACAAAGGAAAUUAGAGUAAGGCACGCAUGUGUGGAAGCAUGUCGAUGCAUGUCAUAUCCCUAAUUGAACCUAACUGCAAUACCACUAACGAUGAGAAAGGGAAGAAAAAAGGCCCAACGAUAUUAUGUUUCGAUUAUUUCUUAUUUAAAGCUCCUCUUCAAGAUAAAGAAGCAUCAUAAUGUGGUGUUAAUUUUUGGUGUCUAAUUUCUCAAGGUCAAUGAACCAGAUUGAGAAGAAAUAAACAAACAUGCUAUUACCAAAAUUUAACAACGGGCGACAAAUCUACCCACGCAAAUGCAUGGGUCAUUCCGCUAGUUGGCACUUAAGCUUCGUUAACGGUACUAAAUACUAUCAAUAUUCACUUGUUCAAAUUGCAACUUGUUUGAAAUUUGUGUGUCGGAGUGCAGCAUCGGUUCUACGGGGAGUCAAAGCCGUUCGGCAAUGACUCGUACAAGUCAGUUGACAUGUUGGGCUACCUGACGUCCACACAGGCGCUCGCCGACUUUGCCAUCCUCAUCACGAGCCUUAAGCAGAACAUGUCCAUUGUUGAUGCCCCCGUCGUCGUCUUCGGCGGCUCUUAUGGCGGCAGUAAGUCUAUCACUAACGUGUUUCCUUAUAUUAUAUCCGUUCAUGCAUUAGUCUGAAUCUCCUUAAGUUUAUUAUUAUUUUUAGGAGGGCGCUUGCCGCCUCUCGGCUCGUUUUGUUUUUAGGAAUCACCGGGGUUGGGGUGGGGAGGGGGGAAGAUCCCACAUGUAUAUAUAUAUAUAUAUAUAUAUAUAUAUAUAUAUAUAUAUAUAUAUACAGGGCAAGAAUUACAGGGUCAGGAUGAUGCGUGAAGAGAGGUAGUCUCACCAAGACAAUGCGACAACAUUACCAACCGGCUCCUUAAACCGCUGAGAUCAAAUGUUUGAAGUCCAAAAGAUGUUUAUAAUGGUAACUACACACCAAGGAGAUCAUGUUUAUAAUGCGACAACAGGAUUUCUGCCCAGAUGUCAUUAUCUAGGUGAGCAUAAGGGAGCACCAAAGAUCCUACACCACAUGUUAGGGGUGAUGCCGAGGUGACUCCAAAUCCGCAUGGAGCUCAGAGAGUUGAUGAGGAUGUGGUGGGCGUCCUACAAAUGUGCAUUGAGGGUAGCAACCGCUGGAGAUGUUUGUGGAAUAGAUUUCCUCUGGUAUCCAGACAUCCACAACAAAGAGUAGCUAGCCGAAGACCUUGAUCUUGUUGGGGUCGCAGAAGAGCCAUAUGAGAUCAGUGUGAUCGUAUCCCUAUACUCAUGAUUGAGAAGGUUGUAGACAACACCGGUGGGAGAAGUCAUUGGAGUAACAAAGACAAAACGGGCAAUUCGAAGCAACAUUGGCAAGACCAUUUCGUAGAUUCGCAUGCAAUCCAUCUUGCAUGGUCUCAUGGAGUAGGAUGUUGGUUUUUUCCGGUCGACGGUGGCGGCGGCCGCGGGCGUUGUUUCCUUCAUGAAGGCUCUGUUGUGGUGUUCCCUUUCCUUCACGUUGCUCUGGGUGAAAACUCGAUCUUCGGGGUCGGGCGGUGGCGACAAUCCGAUGUCAUGCCCUUCUUGAAGGCACCGCCUUGGAGUCCAUCCUCCGUCAGUGUCCUGCUUCACUUCUUUUCGGUGGCUAGUUCUCGAGAGGUCCUCGUUGGCUACAAGUGGUUUUUUUGGCUCAUCUGUAGUGCUUGGUGGUUGAUUGGGUAGUGUGGCGGUGCGUCGGCACCCUUGUAUCUUGCCUUGGUUGAGUGUGGUGUGUGUGUUGGUGGCUUGUUGUAUCCGGAUGUGUAUCUCUGGUUGUUGCUUUAUAUAUAAAGUGGGUGUGGAGGCUGGGAAUGUGGUGUGGAGGCUGGGAAUGUGGUGGCUAGGGGUUGCUGUAAGCCAAACAGAAGUGGUGAAGUUGUUUCUCAAACAAAAGAGAGUUGUUGCAGUUGUGGUAGCUUUAUUUUUUUGUGAAGAAGGGUCCCUAUAUAUUAUAAACUUCACCAGUAGUACAAAGCACUCCCUACAUAGUAAAAAUGACAUUGAGGUCCUUGGACCACUACCGCCAGCAGAACAAGCCGUCCACGCGCUGCUGUCGCUCUUCCUCUACCGGUGUCGGCCUGACCUUGUCGAUGACAGUUGGGAAGUCUUCGUGCAUGUGUCCUAAGUACCAGCAUCCUGGACCUGCAGUCGUUGUCGUUGAACCCAUGAAUCGGUCCGAAGCGCUUGACACCAUAUGUCGUUGUAAAGAAUGUGAGGCGAGAAACCUAACCUCGCCACUCCAAGGAGAUGGCAUGACAGGAACAAUGUCGAAUCUGCCCUGAUGUCUAGGUUAGAUAGGAAGAAUGGUCGAGACGUGACCGAUGGAGCCAGGGUGCUGGGAUUGGUAGUUUUGUGGAGAUCAAGAUGAGCUAAUAUACACUAAUGUAUUACAAAAUAAACUAAUGAUGUCUUAUGGCCUGUGGCUUUGGCUGUUGGUUCUAGUGUUGGCUUCAUGGUUCAGGUUAAAGUAUCCCCAUGUCGCCAUCGGAGCCCUGGCGUCCUCUGCACCCAUCCUGCACUUCGACGACAUCACCCCGUGGUCAAGCUUCCAUGAUACCGUCUCACAGGACUUCAAGGUAAUUUUCUAUAUCUAAAUAACUAGCUGUCACUAACUAUUUUAAAAAACAUGCAGCUAUGCUAUUGCUACCUCAUUAUCCUAAUAAGUUCUAGAAAUUAAUUGCAUGCAUGUGUCCUUCGCACCAAGUUUUCUUCCCCACAUUUAUGCGGGGUUUUUCUUCUUCUGAAUUCCCUACUCGUAAGUGAGUGCACAUAUGAUGCGAUCAAGAUAUACAAUAUUAUAAUUAAAAUACUCAUAUUGAUACAAUAAAAUCACAUGGAAAUAUAUUGCAACCAAUUCCUGCGGCAACGCGCGGGGUGUCAUCUAGUAUAAUUAAUUACCACUCCAUAGUAACAAGAAAAAGAAAUAAGUUGGCCUAAUUAUUAGUCUUGAGAACGCACGGCAGGUCGACAUGAACAUCUUCUGCAAACUGAUCGAUGGUGUCAGCUCUGGAAAUUAUUAGUACUGCUACUGAUUGCACUUGUUGUCACUUGUCGUCCGGUAGCAUGUCUCUCUUCCUCUCAUCCUCUGGUGUUAUCAAUACUAUCAUAAUGGUUUUCAGUUUUGGAUUAUGAAUUGGUAAAUGGUGAUGGCGGCUAGCCCUUGCACUUUCCAUGGGCAUUCAGCUUAAAUUUAUUUGAUCGAAUGUUACCUUCCAGCCAAUGAUGUAGAUGUCUAGUUCUAGGUGAGGUCUUGCUUAUGAGUUCAUCAUGGCUAUUCAGUUGUUGACUAGCUUGAUUGCGAUGCUCAACCGCAUCAAGGGGCUAUUUUUUCGAACCAUGACUGCACGUGAACUAAAUAAAUAGCACCGAAGGACUAUCAAUAGGCGGUUGGGAGUAAGGUCCUCAUUUGGCCAAAGAUACGCAAAUUGAUGCAUUUUGUUCAAUGUUCAUUACUGAUGAUGAUGACGCAUCUGUUGCUAAUAACGUAGAGACAGGAUAUAACAUGGAAAUGGAAUGAUGAGUAACUUGCUAGUGACAUCUUUGCCUGACUGGUGCUUGAUUAGUCCUUCUCCCAAGAUGAAGUUUCCAUGAAAACCUAGGUGUUUAAUCAGCUGAUCGUCACAUCCAACUAGUUUUGCAGUCCGAGAGCCUGAAUUGCUUCAGUGUCAUCAAGGCAGUCUGGGAUGUGCUAGAUAACAGGGGAUCCAAUGACACAGGGCUCUUGGAGCUCAGCAAAACCUUCAGGGCCUGCAAGUAAGCUUUGCCUAACACAAUUACUCAAUCUUUUCAUGAAGGGAGAAAAUGAUUUUUUUCUCUCCUUUACUCAUAACUGUAUAGGACACCGGCCGCAUGGUAUAAAACUUUGAUAUAUGGAGAAAAACAAGAGAUUAAGACUGCAAGUAUUCUUUUCUAUCCGUAAAGUGUAAGCAAAGUAAACAAAUAGUCAAACCUUGUAGCAGGAAAUACAUGAAAAAAAGAACUUGCAGCCCCAAAGAAGGUACAUUAAGUUCAAUGAUAAAUCGAUGGACAUGUAAAUCUAAUCUUGCCAAGCUAACUGGAGUGUGAACUAAUGAAGGAUUUCAUACUUUGAGCGAAUUGACAACAAUGACACGGUUCAUGGCGUUGCUUUAUCCUUGAAUCUUAGGACCGUGCAGUUCAUUUAUCCGCUGAGCAGCUGGCUACAGACAGCGUUCAUCCACACAGCCAUGAUGGACUAUCCAACCCCAGCAAAUUUCUUGAUGAAUCUGCCUGCUUACCCAGUCAAGGAGGUUAGCCACUUGUAACCUAAUUUACAACUAUUAUUCUCGCCUGCAUUACAUCAAAUGAAUGAGAGUAACAUGAGUUUCAGAGUUACCAAACUGAGUCAUGCAAAAAGAGGACCUGUUCUUUUUACUCCUCUGCGUUGCAUGUAAUUCUCCUGACAUUUCUGCAGAUGUGCAAGAUCAUUGAUUCUUUUCCUGCGGGAGCUGACGUCAUCGACAAGGCUUUCGCUGCGGCGAGCGUGUACUACAAUUACACAGGCGACCAGAAAUGCUUCCAGGUGGAGGGUGGCGAUGACCCUCAUGGCUUCAAAGGAUGGGGCUGGCAGGUACAAGCCUGACUCACAUACAUGUGUAUGUGGUGUACUGAACUACUGAUAACACAUGAAGACUGAGAAGUAUCAUAUAUGUGUCUUACGAAACAAACUCUUGUGCAGGCCUGCACAGAGAUGGUCAUGCCAAUGACGGUGUCGAACGAGAGCAUGUUCCGACCAUCCAGCUUCAGUUACGAGAAGAUGUCCGAGAACUGCCUCGCGGGCUACGGAGUUCGUCCGAGGAUGCACUGGAUCACUUCUGAAUAUGGUGGCCAUGUAAGUUUUUAUUCAGAUUUUCAUGUUUACAUACGACCGUCAGCAGCAGCAUUUCUUUGGGUGGCAUGUGCUCACCUAGUACUGCAUUGCACAACCCACUACAGAAAAUUGACAAGGUUCUCAAGAGGUUUGGGAGCAACAUCAUCUUCUCCAACGGGAUGCGAGACCCAUGGAGUGGAGGCGGGUAGGAGUAAAAGAUUUCUCACCAUCUGAUCUAUUCAUGUUGAUAGUUUCAACCAUUUAGGUAGCAAUUUUACCAUAGUAAACAAUAGUAAUAGUCUUCCUUCCGAACUGCUACCAGGGUACUCAAGAACAUAUCAUCCAGCAUCAUUGCUCUUGUCACGGAGAAAGGUAAACUUGAAGUUGUAGAAAAUAUGUAAGGUCAAAGUAUUCUGAACUUACGAGUGGCUACUUGUGGUGAUGUUCAGGGGCCCAUCAUUUGGACUUGAGAUCUGCAACCAAGGAUGAUCCAGACUGGGUUGUAGAACAAAGGAGACAGGAAGUUGAGAUCAUACAUGGAUGGAUAGAUCAGUAUAACAAGGACACUGCACAGGGGUAGCAGUAAGAAGGCGGCAUUGAUUUUCAGAGUCAAGGAAAAUAAAUAUGGCUUGGUGGCUUUAUUAAUCUAAAGUCGGGCAAUCGUUUUUUAUCUAAAUAAAUAAAUUAAUAUGGCUACAUACAAAAUGUAAGGAUUUUCCUUUCUUCUACAGGGCGAUAAGCACAAAAAAAGAGAUAAUGCAUUAGUGCAACUUCAAAUUCAAUUAUACACCAGAAAUUCUUGAACUUAAGCAGUCAUAUAUACGUGAAUCAUGAAUGCAGAGGUUCUCCUUUUCUUAACUGUUGCAGUGAACAUUGAAUUUAGGAACAGACUUGUAUUUGACCCUGCUGAAAAUUUAAGAAAAAGGGUUUCCCCCCCUUUAUAUUAGGGGAGCACUAGGCAUCAGACUACUGAUGCCUCGCUUUCUAUCAGACCAGUCCACAGCCAUCCGAUCAGAUGCAUCCUGGUAGUCAGAUCAGAUCAGCUAGUCUAUUCCCGCGCGUGAUUUCUGGAUUGAGGCCCGAUAGCAGUUCCUUGUUUUGCCGCGAUGGGCAUGGUCGUAGCUAGUUUCCACCAAUUACUGUUACUAACUCUUCCUACAAUUGUGCUUCCGGAAAUCAUUCGUUAACCAUAUAUAAAAGGAGAUAACGUGCAUCUUCAUGCCAUGAAACAAUGUAUAUAUUUUCCACGGCGAAUGUGAAGCACUAACCAUGUACUACGUCGAUACAAAAUACGCAAGCUGUUGGGACAUAUUCCCUUUGCGUCGGCACAGCAGGGACUAUUGUGUUGCUGCCAAGUUGCGCAUGAUGCCAAUGUCGUCGAAGCGGAUGAGCGGGGUAUGUCGACUAAGCAUAACGUCGUCUUACAAAUGUGGCAUAUUUUCCUCAAAUAAAUGAUGUAAAAAGGCUGCGAUGCUUCCGACAUUGUAAUGUGGCAUAUUCUCAUGUAGUAUGUCAUGCUAGCAAAUUACCUAUGUUUCUGACAUUAUUGCUACAUGCUUCUUAUUUGUAGAAUAUUAUAAUUUGUUUCAUGCCACUAUAUAUUGCCACUGCCACAGCUAUGCUUCGAACAAUACUAAUUGUUGCAUGCUCCCUGUAUUACACUGAUGUUUGUUUCCCAAACAACAUACACAUCAAUUAGUAAUUUUGUAUGCUUCCAUUUUUUCCGCUACUUCCUUUGUACAUAGCUGGUUAGAGUUUCAGAUUCGUAGUAUGUUGCAGCAUCAACCAAUCAUAUUUUCAACCGAUGCUACAGGAUUCAUGUCUCCACAAUAAUCACUUCUUUCCGCAAAAGAACCGACCGUCGAUGCGUCAAGCAUGCCCAGGGGCGUGUUGGAGGACAUUGUCGUGGACAGGGCGCGUUUGCUCGUCUGGUCAAGAAACAUAUCCAAGAAGCAAAGAAUCAUGGUUCACCAAUCUUUGAAGCAAAGUGUUAGUACAAUAAACACAUGCACGAGACACACCAUGGAGGCAUGUAUGAUCGUAUUGAGCAGAUGCUGAAAAUGACAAGAAAACUCGCAUCAUGCCAUACAAGACCUUGAUACAGAAUUAGCAACGUGGGGUGAAGGUGGCGCCUCGCUCAGGGCAUCACAUGUUGUCAUCUGGCCAAACUUACCUGGCCUGCCAUGCGAGCAACACACAAGCCAUAAGACGUUACCACACAAGGAUGGACCAGAUUGGUGGAGGAGGGAAGAGGGUGCUGGUUCUCCGUCGAGCAUGGAGUCGCCGCUUGGAAGCAGGCACCGCGCUCGGGUAAUGGCGGCAUGGCCACCUGAUGACGGGAGGGUGCACCACGGCACAUGUCGCACCGGCGCGGUGUGUCUCACGGGCAGAGGGGGAGGCUGGUUCAUGACGGAGAGGUGAGGGUGGUGAGCGGAUUGACGAGAUCGGCGGCACGGGCGCGUCGGAUGCGUUUAUAGCAGGUCAUAUUAAUGCGGGAUGGAUUAUAGCAGAGGAUGUGGCUAGAAAAUCGGAAGGGGCUGUUUUCAAAACACGUCGUUGCGGAAGCAUUCUGGACCGUGAGAUUUAAAUCAAAUCGACGGCAUGCGACUAGUCUGACGAAUGACUUUUACCAGAAGUCUGCUAAUAAGUGUUUUCCUUUAUAUUAUAAAGCAACGAACCAAGCAUCCAACACAUCAGUAUAAAGUACGAACAAGUCAUAAAGUCAUGCUGGGGGCACAGCAGGACAAACCCCAAACGAAGCUAAAAAAAGUUAAUCCGGCUCGGGAGGUCCCUGCUGAAAAUUUUAAUGCAUGGUUUUGACAUAUGCGAUGUCUAUGACGCGUGGGGUCUGAGUCCACAUGUUAUACACAUGGGUCAUAUUUCACAAAAAUAAAUAAAAUAGACAUGGGCCAUGUUAUUAAUUUGCAGGGGCAUUGCAUUAAAAAUAAGAACACCCAAACUGGCUAUAACUGACAUAACAUAGCAUAACACGGUUUAUUCUUGUAUACACCACUGUUUAUGAUCCCAGAAAAUAAGACGGAUUUUAUUAAAAGCUAAAGCUAUGUCGAUGGAAGCCCCGAAACCUGCUUCUAAUUAACUCGACCACUGAAAUUUGCAGAAUUUCACAUAUACAAUAUGCAAGAUCAGCAGUUUGUGAACACACAUGCAGAAACAUCUCUCGCAAAAUACAUGAAAGCAUCAUCUCGAGUGAAAUCCUGCAUCGCGAAGAGGAUUGAUUUAGAUACACCUGACCAGCUCAGCAGAUUUAUAUGCAAAGUCUGAAAAGUCUAGAGAUAGUGUCAAAUCAUCAUAAAGAAGCACAUGAUUUUUUUCACCUGAAUAUGAUCUCGUUUAAAAAAAAGGGUUCAUCCGGAGAGAAGGGAAACCAAAUGGAAAACCUAAACAGGUCGACCCUAUUUAUGAGAAAGACAUACCAAAAACCACAUGAGCAACAAGGCCUUGUCAACCACACGGCACACGACCAUAGUCUUAGCCAAUACACACUUCCGGAUCUGGAGCCGCCGCUCCGACUUGUCCUGCUCGCACACAAGCUGCAACGUCGCGCAACUCGGUCACCACAUAGCCCUUUGUUACUCGCUCCGAUCCAUAAUAAGUGUCUUAGUUUUGAACUAAGGUUGAACUAACCUUAAUUCGAAAUUGUGACACUAAUUAUGGAUGGGAGGGAGUAGUAGUUAUCUUCCAACCACACAAUUUUACUUUGAGACGUCUUAUAAUGAUAUUAGUGGAGCAAUGUCAUAUUAUGACAAUAAGAUUAAUACAAUAACAAUCGGCCCCGCCGCCGUCAUCCUAGGGCCCGGCAUGGCUUCACCGGCCGUCCCCCCGACGACAGCGACGCGGGGGCGGGCGGGAGGUGAUGGCCGGGCCGGCGGCGGCUAGGGUUUUCCCCGAGUCGCCCACUCGGGGGUUGGGCCUCUACCUCUUCAUGAAGGUUCUUAUAUCCCAGGAACUCCGUGUAAUGUUGUUGAUUGAUUAAUAAAACCGACAUUUCUCUAAAAAAAACUUAGUGUUGUACGACCAUCUUGUCUCGUCCGUGUUCUUAAACCCCACAGAACACUUCAUGAGGCAGCAGUGGGGAAUUUUCCGCAAUGGACAAAAGCCUGACGGAGCAAUGCCGCGUGGAGGUGGAAGGCCUACGGGUCGUCAACUUCUUUUCUCGGUAUUUGAUCUUGCUCCCUGCCCCUUUUUUUCAUGGAAAAAGGAAAUAUCAAUUUCUCCAUUCAUUGAACCCUAGUUCGUUCUUCGCUUUGCAUCGAAUUAAACCACAUGCUCCACCGCUUGUGCGGGCCCCCGUCAAUUCCUUUGAGUUUCAUUCUUGCGAACGUACUCCCCAGGCGGGAUACUUAACGCGUUAGCGCAAAGAAUGAACCCCACACGACACGAGCACUGACAUGAGCAACCUGCAGUGAGAGCUCUAGCGACGGGCAAAAAUGGCGGCCUCCUCCUCUUCUUCACAGCGUUCGCGCCCACACCACUGGCAGCAGCAGCGACCUCCUCCAAGCUUCCCAGCCAGCCUCCUCCUUUCCCUGCUUGGCUCGCUCCUCUGCAGCAGCACCGGGCGGCAAGCUCGAGCGGCAGGUACACCACCGCCGCCACGGCCUCCGCGAAGCCGUUCACGGCGCACUACUUCCCGCAGGAGCUGGAUCACUUCACCUUCACGCCCAACUCCUCCCGCGUCUUUUCCCAGAAGUACCUCCUCAACGACACCUUCUGGCGGAAACCCACCGCCGGCGCCGGCGGCGUCGGCCCUCUGUUCGUGUACACGGGCAACGAGGGCGACAUCGAGUGGUUCGCCACCAACACCGGCUUCAUGUUCGACAUCGCGCCCGAGUUCGGCGCCCUCCUCGUCUUCAUCGAGGUACUCUUUUGGCCACAUCCUCUGCCAUGGCUGAUGUCGUCGGUGACCGCACGCGCCCUGGUCCAAAAUUUGGUUGUCCUAUUGAUUCUCUCGAGACAAGACACCAUUUUUGCUGUUGUUUAAGCUUCCAUAGUAAUCACUUGUUUAAACUUUUUUCUUGUCAUGCUAAUUAGCAUCCAUAGUAAUUACACUUUAUUUUCCUUUUCCUUCUCACAAUGAAAAAAUACGCAAGCUUUAUGUAUUCGUGAAAAAAGAGAAAAUACUAAUUAGUACUAACUGUAAUCACUUGUUCAACUAGUAUAAUAGUACUAACUUGUUUGAAAUUUGUGUGCAGCAUCGGUACUACGGGGAGUCGAAGCCGUUCGGAAACGACUCGUACACGUCGGCAGACACGGUGGGCUACCUGACGUCCACGCAGGCGCUCGCCGACUUCGCCAUCCUCAUCACCAGCCUCAAGCAGAACCUCUCUGCCGUCGACGCCCCCGUCGUUGUCUUUGGCGGCUGCUACGGCGGCAGUAUGUCCAUCACCGACGCGUCUCCCCAUAUCGCCAAUUAAAUCCAUGUGUGCGACAAUCUUUUUUGAGAGAAAAUUAGGAUGAGCUAAUCUACAAUAAUAAUGUAGUCAGUAUGGAUGCAUCUUCCAAAAAUAAAGUACAGUAAAUGAUUUUAUGCCUGUUGUUUCUAGUGCUGGCUUCAUGGUUCAGGCUCAAGUAUCCCCAUGUCGCCAUGGGAGCACUGGCAUCCUCUGCUCCGAUACUGCAGUUCGACGACAUCACCCCGUGGUCUAGCUUCAACGACGCCAUCUCGCAGGACUUCAAGGUAAUAAUGGGAAUUAAUCAAUACUACUGCAUAACAUCAAAGUAUCACCGGUCAAAUUAUUGGUCAUGACAACGCAUGGCAGAUCAGCAUGCUCUGCUCUGGAUACUGAAUUUCACUUGUGGUCACGGUGUUGGCCCUGAAUUACUAUUAGUACUGAAUUUCAUUUGCUGUCGUGUUAUCAGUACCUAGCGGCACCUUAGUGGUUUUCAGUUAUGAAUUAUGAAUUGGUGAUGGUGUUUUUCUUCAAAAGCAUGAGCGUAACAGAUGUUUUUUUUCUCCGAAAAGGAGGAUUACCCCCGGCCUCUGCAUCGAGCGAUGCACACUGCCAUUGAUGUGUUUGAUUAGAAUCUUUCAAGAAAUAAUACAUGGAAUUUAAGUGCGUGACUGAAAUGGCUAAUGAUGUGGAUGUCUAGGUGAGGACUUACCUUAAUGAGUUCAACACGGCUAAUGAUUCAGUUUUUGAUUAGUUUGAUUGCGACGUGCAACCUCGCCAAAACGCUAUCAAUAGGCGGUUAUGAAUAAGGUCCUCACUUGUCCAAAGAUAUGCAAAUUGAUGUAUAUUUUGUUCAUCAUUGAUGCCUGAUGACACAGCUUUUACUAAUACGGUAGAGACAAGAUAUAAAAAAGGAAGGGAAUGACGAGUCACUUGCUAGUGACAUCUUUGUCUGAUUGAUGCUUGAUUAGUAGCUGUACCAAGUCAUGUUUCCAAAAAAAAAAAGUGUUUAAUCAGCUGAUCAAUUAUAAGUUUGUAACAUCCAACUAAUUUUGCAGUCUGAGAGCCUGAAUUGCUUCAGUGUCAUCAAGGCGGUCUGGGAUCUGCUAGAGGACAAGGGAUCCAAUGACACAGGGCUCUUGGAGCUCAGCAAAACCUUUAGGGCCUGCAAGUAAGCUUUGCCCAGCACAAUUACAGAAUUACUCAAUCUUAUCAUGCAGGGAGAAAAUGAUUUUUUUUCUUUACUCAUAACUGUAGAGGACGCCGUCUCCAUGGUAUAAAAUUUACUAGUGUAGGGCGAAAAACAAAAGAUUAUGACUGCAAGUAUUCUUUUCUUUGUGUGAAGUGCAAGUAAAUCAAACAAAUAGUAAAACCUUGUAGCCAAGAAAUACGCGAGAAAAUAACUUGCAGCCCCAAAGAUGCACAUUAAAUGCAAUUGGUAGAUUGAUGGACAUGCAAAACUCAUCUUGUCAACGAAGCAUAUCAUACUUUGAUCAAAUCGACAGUGAUGACUCGGGUUCGUGACAUUGCUCUAUCUCUUGUAUUUUAGGACGGUGCAUUCCGUUUAUCCGCUGGCAUUAUGGCUAAGGGCAGCAUUCACCACCACAGCCAUGGUGGACUAUCCAACUCCAGCCAAUUUCAUGAUGAAUCUGCCUGCUUACCCUGUGAAGGAGGUUAGGCACUUGUAACCUAAUUUACAACCCUUACUCUCGCCUGCAUUACUACAUCAAAUGUAUCAUGAAUGAGGAGAGAAACAUGAGUUUCUACCAAAACUGAGUCUGAGGACCUGUUUUUAUUCUUUUCUGCUGAGCAUGUAAUUAUCCUGACAUUUCUGCAGAUGUGCAAGAUCAUUGAUUCUUUUCCCGCGGAAGCAGACGUCAUCGGCAAAGCUUUCGCUGCGGCGAGCCUAUACUACAAUUACACAGGCGACCAGAAAUGCUUCGAGGUGGAGGGUGGCGAUGACCCUCAUGGCCUCCAUGGCUGGGGCUGGCAGGUACAAGCCUGACUCACAUACAUGUGAAUGUGGUGUAGUGAUAACAAAUGAAGCCUGAGAAGAUCAUAUAUGUGUUUUCUGAAACAAACUCUUUUGCAGGCCUGCACAGAGAUGGUCAUGCCGAUGACGGUGUCGAACGAGAGCAUGUUCCCACCGUCCAGCUUCAGUGACGAGAAGAGGUCGGAGGGCUGCCACCUGGUCUACGGAGUUCGUCCAAGGAUGCACUGGAUCACUACUGAAUAUGGUGGCCAUGUAAGUGUUUGUUUCAGAUUCUCAGUGUUUACAUAUCAGUAGCAGCAUCUCUUUAGAUGGCAUGUGCUCAUCUGGUACUGCAUUGUACAACCCACUGCAGAAAAUUGACAAGGUUCUCAAGAGGUUUGGGAGUAACAUCAUCUUCUCCAACGGGAUGCGAGACCCAUGGAGUAGAUUUCACCAUAUGAAUCAUGCAUGAUGAUAAUUUCGACCAUUCAGGUAACAAUUUUACCACAGUAAAAAAAUACUAAUAGUAUUCCUGUCAAACUGCUAUCAUCAGGGUGCUCAAGAACAUAUCAUCCAGCAUCAUUGCUCUUGUCACAGAGAAAGGUAAACAUGAUUGCAGCAAAUAUGCAACGUCAAAAGGAUUCUGAAACUUACUUAAACAUGACUACUUCUUUUGUGGUGGUGAUGUUCAGGGGCCCAUCAUUUGGACCUCAGAUCAGCAACCAAGGAUGAUCCAGACUGGCUUGUAGAACAAAGGAGACAGGAAGUUGGGAUCAUACAUGGAUGGAUAGAUCAGUAUAACAAGGACAUUGCGCAGAUGUAGCAGUAAGAAGGCGCCAUUGAUUUUCACAGUCAAGGAAAAUUAAUGUAGCUACAUGGAAAAUGUAAGGACUUUGCUAUGUUCUACAGGGCGAUAAGUACAAAAACUGAAGAUAGUGCAUUAGUGCAACUUCAAAUUAAACAAGACACCAGAAAUUUUUGAACUUAAGCAGUCAUAAACGGAUCAUGAAUGCAGAGGUUCUCUUUUUCUACUUCUAGAACUGUUGGCGCUGAACAUUGAAUUUAUGACCCCAGAAACUUCUUAUCGAUGAAACAAAAGUUCACUGAAACAUAUCAACAUGGAUCUUGGUCAAAAGAUCUCGGGGCGAGGAUUCCAACGAUGAAAACGGUUCAGAAUUUGGAUGCACGAUUUAAAAAAUAAAAUGUUUUGAAUAAACGAAUCUAAAAAAACUCCCAUAUUACGACAAAUGACGCAUCUGCACUGCGUCGCUUUGUUGCAAUUAGAAGGUGGGAGUGAUCUUUACAAAGAGUACUUCUUAAUUAGUGAUUUUGCUCUUUUACUUCUUUUUAAUAUCUUUCACGCUUGGGCUGAGCCCACCUGCUGGCCGAAUGUACACAUAAAUGGGCACAUGCCAUGCAAAGCCCUGGGAGGUGUCCUUUCCCGCCCAGGCCUUGAUCCGAAACCCUAUUCAACGCCUUAUACGCCGGUUAUAAGUGAUUACGUAAUCCGGCGAACCCCGCCAUCACCCUUGGGCUUGGCCCAUGUAACUCUUUUUUUUUCCAGGUUGGCAACGUUUGUCUCGCGUGUAGUUCCUGUUCGACCAGUCUAGAUAGUUUUUUUUCUCAACGGGGUUUCCUGGUUUUUUCAAGGAUGGGCUUUGUAAGGGUUUUCUUAUUUCUUUUCCUUUGUCAUUUUUAAUUCUUUUUCAAAAUUCAUGAUUUUUUUUAAAAUCGUGAACAUUUCUUAAAUUUGCGGACUUUUUUUUCAAAUUCAUAAAAAUGAAAAUUUUGAGCUUUCCCAAUUUUGUUCAUCAUUUUUUCCCUUUCUAUUUUUUUCAAAUGCGUGAACUUUUUUCAAUUUCAAGAACUUUUCUACAACUCCAGAACUCUUUUCAAUUUUCCUGAACAAAUUUUGCAAACUGUUUUUCAAUUUUUUGUGAACAUUUUUCAAAUGCAUAAACAUUUAUCAAAUUAGGAACUUUUCAAAACCUGGGAUUCUUUUUGAAAUCCGUUAAUUUUAUUUGAAUCCAUUUACAUCUUUCAAAUGCAUGACCAUUUCCAAGUCCGCGAACUUUUUUCCACUUUUGCAAAAAAAAAGUAAAAUCAAAAUUCAUGAUUUUUUCAAAUCCAUGAACUUUUUACAUUUUUUUUUAAAAAUCUUGCUUUUUCAUAUAUGUGAACUCUAUUGAAAUUUAAGAACUAUUUUGAAACCCAUGAUUUUUUUAAAAUUAGUUUUUUAAUUAAAUAAAUUAAAAGUCACCGGUCAAACGUUUCGCCUGCACCCAAUCAACCACCUUGCAAUCGAUGAAAGGUCCACUUGUCAACCCACCAGGCAUAACUAACUGGGGCAGCCCAAUAGGUGCGCGCGGGCGCCAGUUGGCCUCUUAAGAAGCAUUUUUGUCCUGGCAUCUAACAUCUGACAUGACACAUUGUUGUAGUAGAGUGGAUGAAAGUGUCACGAAAGACGUAAAACAUAGACACAAUGUCAAACAGAAAGGAGAACAUUUUUAGGUCCAAGUAGAGAAAGGUAGUUUUACACUUUAUUUUUAAAACACGUCCCAUUUAUUAAUUGUUUAGAAAAGUAUUACAACCACUUCUUACAGCAUAUGCCAGGCAGGGCGGACAACUAUUAAGAAGAAUACCAUCAGACCUAUUAUCAAAAUGAAACUGGCUUGGCAAUUUUACCUUAGACAUAUUAAAGCUAUUGAAAAACUAAAUGGUGCUAUGAGCUUCCUUCUUCAUAUCAAUAAGAGGGGACCUGUCAAGAUUUUCAUUUGCACGGAAAGAGGCCAUAAAAGCACAAUCAAUUUCCAAAAUACUUGGCAUGUGAAGCGUAUACCGAUGUAAAGACCGGUGAGGCAUGCCCAAAGCUUAGCUUCAUCCACAAUGGUGCACAACCCAAUAAAAUUCCACGAAGAUAUGACAACAUCGCCAGAAGCUCGUUUCAGUUAGUGUCAAGUAGGCAAUUCUCUCUACAAAGUCCCGGAAAAAAAUCUCUUUACAAUGUAAGCCCAUGGGUGGUAGAAGAUUUAUGUACGGUAGCAUUGUGGACAACCAUGUGUUUUCUUGCAAUGGAUGAUCUUUGGUUAGAACUCUAUUACUUGCUUAAGCAUUGAAUCCAAUACAACUUCUGGACUGUUUUUUUUUGAAUGGGGAGAACCCCACCUGUAUACUGAUCUCAAUUAAAAAAACAUUGAACCAGUUUAUGUGAAAAACUUGAUAAAACACCAUGAUUGGAUUUAUGUGAGAAGCUGGAUCAAAAAUCUUGACAACUUAUGGGGCAAUAUGUUUUGCCAAAGCAAGAACACAACUUCAGGACGUCCGGGAAUUUGCUUCGCUGCCCUUUGUUUAAUAUUUUGUUUGCCUUUUGCUAGUUAUCUAGCCGCACUAUUCUGUAAACUUGUAAACCUUGAUACCCGUAAGGGCCUUAUUCUAAGGCCGUGCAAUAGCCUCUUAUAUAUCCUUAAAAAGUACUAUUGGCAGUCUAAGGGUUGACUCUUGCAACGAACACAAUAUGGUCUGUGGUGGACUGGUGGUCCCUAUCUUUAUCCUUGGCGUGUGUUCUUCAUAGUUUUAUGAGUAGAUAAGGUGCAUCAAUAAAUGGAAGCAAAGAAGUUGUCACUCAAGUCAGAGCAAGUGUAAUAAGGUACAGUCAGCAGGCUAUAGAUUAAUAGCCGGCUACAACAUGGACUCCAAGAAACAUUAUGAAAGUGUAAGAUGGGCCAUGCAUUAAUAAACUAGUACUACUUAGCAACUAACUACUAUAUAUGAUAACUACUAUUAGGUUGACUAUAUGUGAUAUGGCAACUACAUAUAGCCGGUUGUUGGCUAUACUAUUCCCUCCGUGUAGGUGCAUAAGGCUGGUUGUAAUGGGAAGUAUCAUAUACUAGUAUCAUGCAUAUGAUACUAGCGUAUGAUACUACCUCCUUAAUGCAUAGUAUCAUAUAUUAGUAUCAUGUAGUACUUUAUUUAUUGUCAUGCAUGACACAUAGCAGCAUAUCAUUUAUUAUGAUACGGUAUCAUGAUAUGAUACUCAACUCUCUCUUUCUUCAUUUAAUUCUAUGACACCUCAUCAAAAUUGCCUAGUUGGCAUGCAUGAUACAAGCUAUGAUACUCCCAUUACGACCAGCCUAAGUCAUCUUAGGUUGUGCACCAUGACUAAGGAGGAGGGAAAAACGAGAUGACUUAAUGUUUAUUUGCUAAUUAAUAGCACUGCAUGCAAUGAACUGACCACUGCAUGUCGUGUUUGGUAGUCUCAAGUCAUUAAAAGCAUGUACGCCCCACAUCUCUUAUUGGUUGAUUCCUUUAUUUAUGUCAAGAAACAAGAAACGAGAUGAGAGUUAAUGAACCAUGCCUAAGUGUUUUGAAAUUAUUUGGUUUUCAUAAGGUGACUUGUACACCUAGACGGAGGGAGUAUUAACCAUGCUCUCACUUGGACCACAAUCACAAUCCUUAUGCCAUGUGGCUCUGUGGUGCAUUGUGCGUGCUGCAGGUGCAACCCAACAUGUUUGUUCCUAUCCUAUUGUUGGCGCUACUACUGUUGCACAUCAUCAAUCGGGAUGGGCAGGCUCGUGGCAGUGGCACCACUACGAUUGUGGUUGUUCGCGGUCUCUGGCCUCCGGGUAUGCAGGUGUCCAUGUGCAUGUACCUCACUGGAUUCCUAUUAUUUCUCGUAUCUUGCAAAGUUGCAAGUGGAUCAAACCUGCAGGGUCACACGCUUAAGGGAUUACGACCAGUUGAGUUCUAUAGGAGCUAGGAAUAUGAGAGAAUAUUAUCAGACAAGUUUCGGAAAUAAAAAAAUAGUUUCGAGAGAAGCCAGAAGCGUUUUGGGGUUACCGGAAGGGUGUCAGGGAAUACAGGGUAAUAGCAUAUAGGUGGAAUUUGUACCCAGAGACCUCAUAUAAAUAUAGGUGUAAUUUGAUAUCGUAUCACAACCUAUGUUCACAGCCUAAAAAAGCGGGACCUGAAUGGAAGAACUCAACAGAACUAUCAACUGCUUACUGGUGAGCUUCUCCAGUCCGGUUUGCUUUUUUCAAUGGCCGGGGUGAUAAUUGCUUACUACUUUGUGCAUUUGGCAUCAAAGUAGCUACUUGCUGGGCAAUGGAGGGCAUCGAUGCGAAACGAAGGGAAAGUGAAUUUGGCACCGAGCAUACAUAGUGGAGGGCCUUAUAAUACUUAGGAUUUAUUUUUCUACCUUGGUCGUUUGAUUCGUUACAUGUAGUACAUUUUUCUAGAACGGAGGCGCUUUCCCGGCUUUAGUGAACUGAAACCCUUAAAACGUUUACAACAACUUAGUGAUAAAAUAAGCAGAAAGAUUCGAUACAGACCCUAUAGGGCCAACGACUCAAGAGCCAAAAACAAACGACAAACUAGAAAUCCAUGACGAAUCGUCGAUCAGCAAGCAUGAUGAAUCACCCUGUUGGCCGCCGAUCUCUCUGAUUUGUAGUAUAUUCCAUAGAAAAUCUAGCAUCUUCUAACAAAAAUAUUCCUUCAGCACAAAUCUGAAAUGUUACAAAAUAUUUUGUUAAUGUGCAUUAUGGUCAUUUGUACAACUGUGAUUUAUGUGAGCUGGCAUUUAUCUUGUCCAGUCGUGAAUCUUUGUUCAACAGUCUAUGCUUUUUCUUUAGGGAAAACAGUCUAUGGCUUGUCUUUUGAAGAAGCUUUUGUCAUUCCGACCGGCGGUGGGCCUGCUCUAUGGCUUUGAUGAGCCUUUGACAGGCCGAAUGAUGGGCUCCCCUGGUAGCCCCAUCAACCUGCAUCGAGUGCAGAUUCCACCUCUGCUGGAUUCUGCUGGGGAAAUGUAGAUUCUUUUUCCCAUUUUAACGUAGGAGCUGACUCAUUGCUCGCCCGUGUAGUCUUGCCUAGGCUGGUUCAGUGCGGGUGUGCUCGUUCGUUGGGGACAUGAUGAGGUGCGAGUAGAUUGCAUGCAUGGGGUGAUGGGGAUAUACUGUUGCAAGUGUGCAACUUGGAUCUUGGGAUGAAAUCAUUUGCUGAAAGUCGAAAAAAGUGAUGGAGAAUUAUGAAAGCUCAUCAUAUCUCAUGACUGCUCCUUGUGUAUUGGUACCGGCGUAGAUCGCGAGUAGAAAAAUGUGAAGGACUAUUAUGGAAGCUCAGUCAUAGCUCAUACUCCGGUGCUCAGGCUCAUCUACACUCGGUACGUUAAAAAAAUACAAACAAAUCUGAAUUUUUUAGGCAUCCAAGUUGCUCAUGUACACAUGGUGAGCGCACAAUUUCAGAUUGUUUAGACAUCUGAGGAGCUCGUGGCAAAAAAAAAACCCGGUUCUAUUGUUCUUUUUCAAAGUUUCUCGGACACCUAAAAUUUGUUUUUUGGCACGAGCUCCUUAGAUGUCGAAACACCACGAAAUUUUUUGGCACGAGCUCCUUAGAUGUCGAAACACCUCGAAACAUCUUGGAUGCCUAAAAAUUUCAUAUAUUUUUACUAUCCUUUUGAAUUUACUGUUCAUGCAUGGGUGUAGAUGAGCAUGCACUAGUAGAAAAAGGGUCAAAUGUCAAUCACAUUAGUGCCGGUUUGAUUUUGAGCCGACACUAAUGUGUGCAUUAGUGCCGGUUCCAACGGCUAGCCGGCCGCUCUCAUUAGUACCGGUUCGGGGCUAACCUUUAGCACCGGUUCGUGCCACGGACCGGUACUAAAGUGAGUGGUGGCAGGAUGUUGUCAGUCCGGGGCCCCUCCAGCACCUUUAGUACCGGUUCGUGGCACGAACCGGUGCUAAAGGUCGUCCUACAUAAACCCUUCGUCCACCCGAGCUCGCUCUGUUCUUCCCCUUUCCCCUCUCCUCUCUGUUCUUCCCCUCUUCCUCUCGAGCUCAUCACACAUUUUGCCCAAAAUUUGUCAAGAUUUGAAGGCCCCCAUCCAUUCAAAUGAUCACAAAGGUUAGCAACUUUGUCCUUUCAUCUCUCAUUGCUAGAUUAGCUCUUGCAAUGCUUUUGUAUAGUGAUUAAUUUAUGAGUUUAGUAAUUUGGGAGGAAAUAUAUGUGCUAGUAUUUGAUUUAUAUGCAAUUUGAGGUCAAAAAUAACACUUAGUUUGCAUAUGUAGGUGUGGUUUACUUAGUGCCUUCUAAAUCUCCGUCGUAACCACAGUCGAUCGCCCGCACCGUUCCGUCGCCGGCACCACCUUGUGGUGAGCCUCUUGUUCAUGAAUGUUUUACAUUACCAAAUUGAUGUUUGUGUGAUUUGGAUAUAUAGUUACUCGUAUAAUUAUCUUAAUCGUAUGUUGUUUAUUAUACAUAGUGCCAUGGUUUUGAUAUCCGUCCCCGUCGGCCCUCGUCCUUGUUAUGAUUCGGAUGUGGUAUAUUCUCUUUUAAAACUAGUUGUUGCAUUUCGUGUUUAUGACAAAUUAUGCCCAUCAAAUUGACAUAGAUAUUUUUGUCUAGGAGGUUUGUGAACCGGAAAUUCCAACCGACCCUAUUGUUGAGAGGUUAAAUUUAGUUGAAAGAGAAAACGAGUAUUUGAAAGAAAAAUUGAAAAGAAUUGAGGGGGAGAAGAUGGAAUUGGAGUUGCAUGUUGCCGAUGUCGUCGAUGAUCACAAGACCAAGAUGGAGAAAAUGCGUUUGAAGAUUAGAAAGAUUAGAAAAUAUGCCAUUGAUAGUGAGGCUUGGUAUCAUUAUGCUGUUGGACAAUUGUUAACUUAGUUGCGAUCUUGAUCGCAUUUGUUAUUGCAUUUAAAUGCUUUAGUUAGAGAGUUAUUUGUUUGUUGCAUUUAAGUCUUGUAUGAACUUUAUGUAUGAACUUGUAUUAAUUUGGUCUUUUCGGUGUUGUGUAAUGAAGAUGAGCCGACAAUGGAUGUACGAUGACCGAUGCUCUCCCGAGUUCAUUAAUGGCGUGCAAACUUUUCUGCUUGCGGCUGAGGCAAACAAGCGGGCGGAUGGUUUUAUGCCUUGUCCAUGUUUAGUAUGUAAGAAUGAUCACAAUUACUCUACGUCAAGAACCAUUCACGUCCACCUGUUUAAGUCCGGUUUCAUGCCCCACAAUAAUGUUUGGACCAAGCACGGAGAAAGAGGGGUUAUGAUGGAAGACAAUGAAGAAGAAGAGGACGACGACAGCUAUCCUGGCCAUGGGUUCCCUGAAUACGAUGAUACAACAAUGGGGGAAGAAGCUAAGCCGGCAAUGCGGGAAGAAGCUGAAGAAGAGGCAUCAGAUGAGCCCGUUGAUGAUCUAGGUCGGGCCAUUGCCGAUGCAAAGAGAAACUGCGCAAGUGAUUUGGAGAAGAAGAACUUGCAGCGCAUGUUAGAGGAUCACAAGAAAUUGUUGCACCCGAAUUGCGAAGCUGACAAGAAAAAGUUGGGCACCACACUGGAAUUGCUGCAAUGGAAGGCAGAGAAUGGUGUAUCUGACAAGGGAUUUGGAAAGUUGCUGGUAAUGAUAAAUAAUAUGCUUCCAAAGGACAACAAAUUGCCCGAGAGUACGUACGAAGAAAAGAA
rnacentral:lncRNA from 1 species